rnacentral:rRNA from 1 species
GACUCUGUUAAACCUAAAGGCGCAAUGAAAGUAAAGGUCCGCCUCGCGCGGACCGAGGGAGGAUGGGUCCGUCCCCGGACGGGCCCCGCACUCCCGGGGCGUCUCGUCCUCAUCGCGAGGAGAGGCGCACCCAGAGCGUACACGCUGGGACCCGAAAGAUGGUGAACUAUGCCUGGUCAGGACGAAGUCAGGGGAAACCCUGAUGGAGGUCCGUAGCGAUUCUGACGUGCAAAUCGAUCGUCGGAACUGGGUAUAGGGGCGAAAGACUAAUCGAA